GAUAAUUAAUUUUUAGCAAUUAUUUUUAUUCGUACACUACAUAUAGUCGACAAAAGUGAAAUAGGAUAUUAGUGGUGAAGCGGUCGUCGGUAGUUUCUAAGGCGCUACAGAAAUUUUCUGUUUGAGUAAACAGAUGUAUAAUUCUCUCUAAUUUCUUCCUUUUCUUGCAAUUAACGAAAUACAAAGAAUAAUUGCCUGUUGAGCGGAAGGAUUGAAGUGGCUCGGAUUAAAGGUACUCUUUGUCACGUUUAAAGUAAAAGUAAUGGCGAUGGUGAAAGGAAUUCCCGGCGUUAAUCAAUAUUGUCGGGCUUUUGUGGUUUUCACUAGAGACUUACGCUGUACCACUGGAAGCCUAAGAUUAAAAUCGUUCUGCGAUUACUAUAUAUGAGAUCACUAGUGCAAUGAUACGAUACAAUUGUUGGUUUGCGACAUCGUGUUACUUUUUAAAGGUCAAAAGGGAUUUUCAAGAGAGGAAGCUGUCUGAGACAAUAGUUUGUUGCAAAAAUAUUGAAAACAACAUUGGAGAUUUAAUUUGGACAUAUUUGUACGAAACUUUCGAUAUUUAUCUUCUCGGCUUUGCUUCUUUAAAGUUUUUAAGUAACUGACCGUUUUGAAGAAAAUUAGAAGGGAGCACUGAAGUGAUUUAGAAGGGAAAGGAUAUUCGAGCGCUUUAUUCCACUUUACGUUAUUUAAAAAUGAAAAGAAACGAGAGACAUUACCUUUUCAGGAGUCGUUCUUUUCUUUAAGUCGAAACA